CAAUAUUAGAACAAGAGAAGAAGAGAGAAUAUGCACUAAGGCUAGAAUAUUGGUGUGUCUUACAAUGGCUUGGAGCAUUCCUAUUUAUAGCCAAAGCCUUGAGGAUCCUAUGGCCAAAAACAAAGAUGUUUCACCACAACCUCUUCUUCUCAUUGGCUACAAAAACGGUUACAUUAUAGCCACUCAUUUUACCAUCAUAGCCACUUCUUUUGCCACAUCAUUCUCUUUUUCUUUUAAGCCAAUAUUUAAUAAAUCUCCACCUUGGCUAAAAGACUAUCAUAACUAUUUUCAUGUUGCUCUUCUUCAUGCCCACUAGAGAUUCUGGACAUCAAUCAAGUCCAGACAAUGCCUGAACUUCGUUGUUGGAACUGGCUUCGUCAUCAUGUCAGCAGGAUUAUUUGCACUUGGUAUUUUCUCCACUUUAACAAUUCCUUUUUUAAUGAUAUCUCUGAUAAAGUGAAUCUGAACAUCAAUAGAUAAAGUGCAUCCGAACAUCAAUAUGUUUUGUUCUUUCAUGAUACAUUGGAUUUUUUGUGAGAUGUAUAGCACUUUGACUAUCACAGUAGAUGGUUGUUUCUUCUAGUUGUAUACCCAACUCUUCAAUUAGACCUUUCUCCCAAAUGGCUUCCUUUACAGCUUCUGUUACUGCGAUGUACUCCGCUUCAGUUGUAGAUAAAGCAACAAUUGAUUGUAGUGUUGCUUUCCAACUAACAGUACAACCACACAGUGUAAAGACAUAUCCAGUGAGUGAUCUUCGCUUACCUAGAACUCCGGCAUAAUCUGAGUCAACAUAUCUGAUGACCUUACUUCCAACAUCUUUGACUUUUCCAUACAAUAAGCCAAUAUCCAUGGUAUCCUUUAGGUAGCCCAUAAUCCACUUCACAGCCUUCCAGUGAACUUUACCAGGACUUGCCAUAUACCUACUUACCACACUUACUGCUUGUGCAAUAUCUGGUCUAGUGCAUAUCAUGGCAUACAUAAGACUGCCAACUGCACUAGCAUAAGGUACACUUGACAUCUCCUCAUUUUCGCUCUCAGUUUGUGGACACAAGGCCAUUGAAAGUUUGAAAUGAGACGCCAAUGGAGUAGUGACUGGUUUAGCAUUUUGCAUGCCAAAUCGUUCCAACACUUUCUCAAUAUACUUCUUUUGUGAUAGAAAGAGCGUCCCUUCUUUUCUAUCUCUCUGAAUCUCCAUUCCUAGAAUUUUCCUUCCAGCUCCUAAGUCCUUCAUUUCAAACUCUGAGCUCAAUUGAGCUUUUAAGCUUUUUAUUUCUGACAUGUUCUUACAUGCGAUCAACAUGUCAUCAACAUAAAGAAGGAGAUAGAUAAAUGACUUAUUUGCCAGCUUCUUGUAGUAGACACAACUAUCAUGCUCACUUCUACAAUAGCCAUUUUCGAGCAUGAAGGUGUCAAACCGUCGAUACCACUGUCUAGAAGAUUGUUUUAAGCCAUAUAAGGAUUUCUUCAGUAAGCAAACAUGAUCUUCCUUCCCUUGAACUUCAAAUCCUUCAGGUUGUUUCAUAUAGAUUUGUUCCUCCAACUCACCAUGCAAGAAUGCUGUUUUGACAUCUAGUUGCUCAAGUUCCAUAUCAAAUUGAGCUACAAUGGCAAGUAGGAUGCGAAUAGAGCUAUGUUUUACCACAUGGGAGAAAACUUCAUUGAAAUCAAUUCCUUCUCUUUGUGUAAAACCUUUGGCCACUAAUCGCGCUUUGAAUCUUGCAUCUUCAACUCCAGGAAUUCCUUCCUUCUUCUUGAAGACCCAUUUGCAUCCAACAACCUUUUGAGACUUUGGUCGUUUCUCAAGAACCCAAGUAUGAUUCUUAUGAAGAGACUCAAUUUCCUCUCUCAUGGCAGAAAUCCAUUUGGAAGCUUCUUUAUUGUUGAUAGCUUCUUCAUAUGAUUGUGGCUCACAAUUGAUGAUAUCAUCAGCAACAUUUAGAGCAUAAGACACCUGAUCAGCAUAACCAUAUUUCUCAGGAGGUUUUAUAUGUCUCCUUUGCCUAUCCCUAGCCAACUGAUAAUGUUGCAAUUGGGAUACAUCACUACUAGUAGAUGCAUCAUGAACUUCUUCUUCUUGAUCAAAUGUAUUUUCCUUUGUUGGCUCCAUCUCAAACUCCACCUUCUCCGAGAUACUAGGGUCUUUGUUUUCAUUUGAAGACUCUUAAUGAGGCUUUAGCAUUUCAGCCUCAUUAAAAGUAACAUCCCUAUUGAUAAUACAUUUUCUUUUCUCUGGCCACCACAACUUAUAUCCUUUUACACCAUCAACAUAUCCAAGAAAAAUGCAUUUCAAUGCUCUUGCAUCAAGUUUUCCUUCUUUGUUAUGAGCAUAUGCAGGGCAACCAAAUAUCCUCAAAUUAUCAUAAUUUGCAGGAACACCCGACCACAUCUCUUCUGGAGUUUUAAAGUCAAUAGCCGUUGAUGGACAUCUGUUGAUCAAGUAACAAGCUGUAUUGACAGCUUCCGCCCAGAAUUGUUUUGGCAAUCCAGCAUUUGACAACAUACACCUUGUCCUUUCAAGUAAGGUUCUGUUCAUCCGUUCUGCAAGUCCAUUUUGUUGAGGAGUGUGCCUCACAGUAUAAUGUCUGACAAUACCAUGAUCCUUGCAAAAGUUUCCGAAUUCUCUGCUACAAAACUCUAGGCCAUUGUCAGUUCUCAGUCGCUUGAUCUUCCUCCCAGUUUGCUUUUCGAUCAAGGUUUUCCACUGCUUGAACUUCACAAAUGCUUCACUUUUGUGUUUCAAAAUGAAGAUCCAAACCUUCCUUGAAUAAUCAUCAAUGAAAGUUAGCAUAUAUCUGCUACCACCAUGAGAAGGUACUGGGGAAGGACCCUACAAGUCAGAAUGUAUAUAAUCCAACGUGUCUUUUGUUCGAUGAACUGCAUUAUUGAAUUUUAUUCGACAUUGCUUCCCAAAAAUGCAAUGUUCACAGAAGUCUACCUUCCCGACUUGUUGACCACAUAGUAAUCCUUGCUUGGCCAACUCGGCUAGACCUCUUUCACUGACAUGAUCAAUUCAUAGAUGCCAUAAUUUGGUGACAUCAGAAUAUGAUGUUGAGGAUACAGCAGCAACACCCGUGAUUAUGUUUCCUUGUAACAUAUAUAGGCUAUUCUCUUUCNNNNNNNNNNNNNNNNNNNNNNNNNNNNNNNNNNNNNNNNNNNNNNNNNNNNNNNNNNNNNNNNNNNNNNNNNNNNNNNNNNNNNNNNNNNNNNNNNNNNUUUCAAAAUGAAGAUCCAAACCUUCCUUGAAUAAUAUAUCUCCUACCACCAUGUCUUUCCUUUCAUUACAACCAUAGCGCCUUUAGAUAUUCUUAUAGCUCCACCUUCACCUUUGUAGCUAUAACCUUUUGAAUCUAGUGUUCCCAAGGAAAUCAGAUUUUUCUUCAAUUCUGGAACAUGCCUUACAUCUGUCAACGUCCUUACGAUUCCAUCGAACAUCUUGAUUCUAAUUGAGCCGAUGCCAAUGACCUUGCAGGGAGCAUUAUUUCCCAAAAGGACCUUGCCCCCAUCUAAGGGUUGGUAAGUUGAAAACCAAUCCUUAAUGGGACACAUGUGAUAUGAGCAUCCAGAAUCAAGUACCCAUUCAUCUUUUGAAUCGUGCUCUGAGACUAUUAGUGCAUCUGCACUAUCAUAGUCAUUUGCUACAGCUGCAUCUCCAUAUUCACAAAUCUUUUCCUUGCCUUUGCGCUCUGGACAAUUCUUUCUUAUAUGACCUUCCUUAUGACAAUGAAAACAUUUAUACUUUCUAGGUUUCGCUUUAGACUUGGACCUAGAUUUCCCUCUUUCACCAAAUUGAUUUCGCCUCUCUGUUCUUCCUCUGGCAAAAAGACUAUCACCUGAGCCUUCAGAUCUCGAAUCUGAUACUCUUUUCUUCAGUUCUUUUGAGUGCAACGCCGCCUUUACUUCGUCUAAGGUCAGAUCUUCUCGACCAUACAUCAUGGUGUCGAUGAAGUGCUCAUAAGAACUUGGAAGGGAACAUAGUAGAAGAAUUGCUUGGUCUUCAUCUUCAAUUUUAACAUCAAUAUUCUUUAGAUCAAGAAUAAUUUUGUUAAAUUCAUCCAGAUGAUCUUUUAUGGGUUUUCCUUCCUGCAUUUGAAGGGUAUAUAUUCUUUUCUUCAAAUACAGCCUGUUGGUGAGUGACUUCGUCAUAUACAGGCUUUCCAGCUUCAACCAUAAUGAAGCAGCUGUAGUUUCAUCUGACACUUCUCGUAGAACUUCAUCUCCCAAGCACAACAAAAUUGCACUAUGUGCUUUUUCCAGGUUUUCAUCCUUCUCGUCCUCGGUCAGACUCUGUGGUAACUUGUUUCUACCUUCCAAGGCUUUUCCCAAGCCUUGAUGAACUAGUAGAGCCUUCAUCUUCAAUCGCCAUAGGUUGAAAUCAUUUUCUCCAUUAAAUUUCUCCAAAUCAAAUUUAGCACUCGCCAUGAUAACCGUAUACCAGAACAGUAUCGUAGUCCGUGAACAUACACCAGGAAAGCUCCCAGGAAAGAGAGGUGGGUCUUAACAGACACGCUUAAAUACCAGGUCUUUCCUAAGACAGAACUUUCCUAGACAUGCACUUUCACACUAUUAUACCUUUCUAGUAACAAGAACAAUUCUUUUCUGGUGUGUAAGAUCAGACAAUGCUGCAAACACAGAGCAUACUAAGAAUUUUCUUUUAGAUCGUACGGCUUAGCAUGCAAGAGCUCUACGAGCUCUGAUACCAGUUUGUUGAUGCGGAAGACAUAUGGAGAAAAUAUAAUAGAGAAAAUGACACCGAGAAAUUAACGUGGUUCAGCAAUUUGCCUACGUCCACGGUUGAAGAGCAACAAUGAUAUUAUCACUAUGAUAAAAGAGAAUUACAAGUUCACUCAAGUGUUUCACUCACUUCCCAAAACCCAAGUACACCCAAUAUCACUCUCACUCACUUAUAUCUUAAACACUAUAAUAUUCCUCACAAUAUUAGAACAAGAGAAGAAGAGAGAAUAUGCACUAAGGCUAGAAUAUUGGUGUGUCUUACAAUGGCUUGGAGCAUUCCUAUUUAUAGCCAAAGCCUUGAGGAUCCUAUGGCCAAAAACAAAGAUGCUUCACCACAACCUCUUCUUCUCAUUGGCUACAAAAGAGGUUACACUAUAGCCACUCAUUUUACUUGGCCACAAGAAGGUUUCAUCAUAGCCACUUCUUUUGCCACAUCAUUCUCUUUUUCUUUUAAGCCAAUAUUUAAU
rnacentral:lncRNA from 1 species